CAUCUCCAGUACAGUCAGGUGUGUUGGUUUCUGAGCAUGGAAAGCCUGCUUAAAAUCACACCACAGAUUUUCAAUAAUAUUCAUGUCUGGGGACUGAGAUGGCCAUUCCAAAACGUUUUACUUGUUCCUCUGCUUGAAUGCCUUAGUGGAUUUUGAGCAGUGUUUUAGGGUCGUUGUCUUGUUGAAAGAUCCAGCCCCGGGGCAACUUCAACUUUGUCACUGAUUCAUGUACAUUGUUCUCAAGAAUCU